CAGAAGUUACAAGCUCCUCCUGCAUGUUGGUGACCCUAGUGAUGCGAUAAAAGUGCCAUGAUACGAAGCAGACCCAGACUCUUCGAACUCUGAAGGGGGGUCCUGUGGAGUGAAAAGGUGGGGGGCCUGGCCAGAGACUGCCACAGCUGGACCAUGUCAGUGGGAGGCAAAGCACGGCUCCACAUGCAGUGCGGGAGAGAGAGUGGCUCCAGGGAGAAAAAACUCCGGAUAAAUAGACGCUGCAGCGAUACACCGGAAAAGGCUAGAAACUAGUGUCUGGCAACUGAUGAAUUGUUUGUGGAACUGCCCUGGCCUGAUUGUGCUGUUACUUGGAUGCGACAUGAAGGUGGCCUCAACCUCAGCCCUCCCUCACUAGAGACAAUGGGCAUCAGAAGUUUAGUCCCUCUGGCAUUGCAGCUAUUCCACAGGAUGAACAUGAACCAAAGGCUCAGAGCUCAAAGUCUUUGAUGAAAAAAGGAAAGCUGGGACUUCUAAUAAAUCUUCUACUUCUUUUCCUUUUUGCAAGCCAUCCACAAGCAAUCCAGAUAAAAAUCCAUGAGGUGCAACUGAAAGCCUAGGCCAUGGCAUUAUGAAGCACAUUAUUAAGAUUAAAAGUUUUCAUCACUCCA